UCCGCAGUAGUUUAGUGGUAGAGCUAUCGGAUGUUAACCGGUCGGUCGUAGGUUCGAGUCCUACCUGCGGAG
rnacentral:tRNA from 2 species